GGCGCGGCUUUAGGUUGCAUUUCUGUAAAUAUUGACAAUGCAAUUUCCCAUAGGAACUCCUUUUACAGCUAAAACUGUACCACUUUUACUGUGUAGUUUUGAAAUCUGAUCCCAGAAUUGAAAGUUCAUAUGCACUACAAUUUUUUUCAAGGGUCAAAAUAUAGUGCUGUGCGGCAUAUUUUCAACGUUUAUAUGCCCUGAACUUUUCAGAGUUUAAACUAACACUAAUUUUCUUAACUACCACUACCUCAAAUGAAGGGUUACCAUAGAUUUCAACGUAAACAAUAUGCACAUGUAUAUUUACUGGUAACAUUCACAAGUUAUGUCUCUAUGAGAUGGAAGACAGAGAGCAUAACUGGGAACCAGUAUGUAAACAAAAUUAAUUUUCUAUGAAUAUUCUAAAUCUCCCCAAAAGAGGCGUGGUUUGAGAAACAGCUGUAUUUACAAAGUGCAACCUUUAUACGACCGCAGAGGUCAAACCCUGAACAGUUGGGGCAAGUAUGGACACAAUAUCUAGGCUUGACACAGCUCUGAAAUUUGGAUUGUGAUUAAAUAGUUGACACAACAUAGGUUUCUGACACAGAAUGAAUGUGGUCUAAGAACUUAAACUUAAAAACUUAAAAAUUUAAGUUGGACAUUUACCUAUUAUGGUCCAAUAUCCAAAAUCUAAAUACAUGGUUAGAUUCAGCAUAUCAUAUAACACCAAGAAUUCAAUUUUUGAUGAAAUCAAAUAAUGUUCAAAAUUUAGACCCUUUAGACCUCAAUGUGGACCAAUUUGAUAACCGAGCCCAAAUAUUAAAAAUCUAAAUACAUGGUUAGAUUCAGCAUAUUGAA
rnacentral:lncRNA from 1 species